GAUGAACGCUGGCGGCGUGCCUAAUACAUGCAAGUCGAGCGAACGGACGAGAAGCUUGCUUCUCUGAUGUUAGCGGCGGACGGGUGAGUAACACGUGGAUAACCUACCUAUAAGACUGGGAUAACUUCGGGAAACCGGAGCUAAUACCGUAUAAUAUUUUGAACCGCAGGGUGGAAAAGUGAAAGACGGUCUUGCUGGCACUUAUAGAUGGAUCCGCGCUGGAUUAGCUAGUUGGUAAGGUAACGGCUUACGAAGGCAACGAUGCAUAGCCGACCUGAGAGGGUGAUCGGCCACCCUGGAGCUGAGACACGGUCCUGACUCCUACGGGAGGCAGCAGUAGGGAAUCUUCCGCAAUGGGCGAAAGCCUGACGGAGCAACGCCGCGUGAGUGAUGAAGGUCUUCGGAUCGUAAAACUCUGUUAUUAGGGAAGAACAUAUGUGUAAGUAACUGUGCACAUCUUGACGGUACCUAAUCAGGAAGCCACGGCUAACUACGUG
rnacentral:rRNA from 1 species